GAUGAACGCUAGCUACAGGCUUAACACAUGCAAGUCGAGGGGCAGCAUGGUCUUAGCUUGCUAAGGCCGAUGGCGACCGGCGCACGGGUGAGUAACACGUAUCCAACCUGCCGUCUACUCUUGGACAGCCUUCUGAAAGGAAGAUUAAUACAAGAUGGCAUCAUGAGUCCGCAUGUUCACAUGAUUAAAGGUAUUCCGGUAGACGAUGGGGAUGCGUUCCAUUAGAUAGUAGGCGGGGUAACGGCCCACCUAGUCUUCGAUGGAUAGGGGUUCUGAGAGGAAGGUCCCCCACAUUGGAACUGAGACACGGUCCAAACUCCUACGGGAGGCAGCAGUGAGGAAUAUUGGUCAAUGGGCGCAGGCCUGAACCAGCCAAGUAGCGUGAAGGAUGUCUGCCCUAUGGGUUGUAAACUUCUUUUAGAAAGGAAUAAAGUCGGGUAUGUAUACCCGUUUGCAUGUACUUUAUGAAUAAGGAUCGGCUAACUCCGUG
rnacentral:rRNA from 1 species